UGAGUUUGAUCCUAGCUCAGAGUGAAGGCUAUAAGCCUGCUUGAAUACAUGCGAGUUGAAUGGUUUUGCACCAUAGCGUACGGGUGAGUAAAAAAUCGAUAUCUACCCCUAACCUUGGAAUAAUUCUAUCUCUCAGGGGAGAAACAAUUGGAAAAAUACCAAAUAAAUUAUAAAAGGCACGCCGGUUAGGGAUGAUUAGAUUUAGUAUUAGGUAGUCGGUUGGGUUAAGCUUACCGAGCCAAAGAUGCUUAGUUGGUCUGUGAGGACGAUCAAUCACACUGGGACUGAGACAAGGCCCAGGUUUCAUUUGAAGGCAGCAGUAAGGAAUAUUGGACAAUGAGCGAAAGCUUGAUCCAGCAAGGCUUGGUGAGGGAUUGAAAGCUUAGGUUGUAAACCUCUUUUUUAACCGAGGAUAAUGACAUUAAGUUAAGAAUAAGUCCCGACUAACUUCGUGCCAGCAGUCGCGGUAAUACGAAGGGGGCUAGCCUUAUUCGUCAUAACUGGGCGUAAAGGGUCCGUAGGUUGCUCUUUGUAACGUUGUAAGUUAAAUCCUUUAGCUAAACUAAAGAAAAGCUUUCAAUACAGAAGAGCUUGAGUCUGAUAAAGGGUAAUGGAAUUUUUCAAUGAGGGGUAAAAUCCAUAGAAGUGAAAACGAACAUCAAAUGCGAAAGCGAUUGUCUAGUUCAGUACUGACGCUGAGGGACGAAGGCAUAGGUAGCGAACAGGAUUUGAGACCCUGGUAGUCUAUGCUGUCAACGAUGAAUGCUAGCUUUUAGAUUAUUAGAAGCUACAGCUAAGGCAUUAAGCAUUCCGCCUGAGGAGUACGAGCGCAAGCUUAAAAAUCAACGGAAUUGGCGGGGGUUCAAACAAGUGGUGGAGCAUGUGGUUUAAUGCGAUAAUACGCGCGUAACCUUACCAGUUCUAGUAAGUCUGCCAUUUUUACGGAGACGUAUUUAAUUUUGGGACUUUCAGGUGUUGCAUGGCUGUCGUCAGCUCGUGUUGUGAAAUGUUGGGUUAAGUCCCGCAACGA
rnacentral:rRNA from 1 species